rnacentral:rRNA from 1 species
UACGUAGGGUGCAAGCGUUAUCCGGAAUCAUUGGGCGUAAAGCGCGUGUAGGCGGCUUGGUAAGUCUGCUCUGAAAGCCCGGGGCUCAACCCUGGGAUGCCGGUCGAUACUGCCGGACUAGAGUUCGGAAGAGGCGAGUGGAAUUCCCGGUGUAGCGGUGAAAUGCGCAGAUAUCAGGAGGAACACCGGUGGCGAAGGCGGUUCUCUGGGCCUUACCUGACGCUGGAGGAGCGAAAGCGUGGGGAGCGAACAGG